UUUUAGCUUGAUUCUGUUUAUACUCCAUUCCUAAAGAAUACAAGCUUGUACUUCUGGAACCACACUACAUUAUUUUGCUUGAUUUUAUUGAGUACCUUCCAUGUGCUAGUCCCUGGAACCCUCAGCAACUCAUCUGGAAGGUAUUCCUCCAUUACACAAAUAUAUACCUAUUAGACAUUUAAGUAGAGACAUCAAGUAGGCAGUUGGAUAUACAAAUAAAGAGCUCAACUUAGAGGUCAGGAAAAGAGUUAAAAUUUUACUUAUUUUUAUUUUUUGCCUUUUUUAAUUACUCAGUGAAUUUAUUACUUUUAUAGUUGUACAAUGAUCAUCACAAUCCAACUUUAUAGGAUUUUCAGCUUUGAGAGCUAACAAAGUAUUUUUAAAUGCAUUUAAAGUAUAGUUAAUUUACAAUUGGGUGCUGAUUCUAUAGCAAUGUGACUCAGUUAUACACAUAUAUACAUGCUUUUUGAAAAUAUUCCCUUGAAUUACGGUUUUUUCCAGGAUAUUGGAUAUAGUUUCCCUAUGCUCUACAGCAGGGUGCUGUUGUUUAUCCAUUCUAGAUGUAACAGUUUGCAUCUAUUAACCCUAAACUCCCAGACCAUCCCUCUCCCUUCCCCCUCCUACUUGGCAACCAUGUCUGUUCCAUAUGUCUGGAAAACACAGUAUUUUUAACUAUGGCCUUACAUGAAAUUUCUGAGAAACAAGGUAUAAAAAACAGUUGCAGGAACCCAGAAGUGAUUAAUAGUCCCUAAACAAUAGAGAAACGGGAUUGGUUCAGAGGGACAGAGUCUAUGUUCUGAUAUUACUUACAGUAUGAAAGUAAGGAGAAGAGUAAAUCCCAUCUUCUCCUGCUUAACAAAUUACAUGUUGUAAACAUCUAUAUUUAAGUAUGGUUUCACGUGACACAAAUGGUGACUUCUACUCUAAUCUACUAUAAGAGGUGAGAUUGCACACAUUCCUGUUUUUGUGGCCUCUUGGGUUAUUCUAUUCCCAUUGCCUGUGCUAUUCUCCUCCUUCUCCUUUUGUCCUAGCUGUCUCCUACUCCUUUAUAACUCAGCUCUAACAGGGCCUUCCCUGAGGGUCUUUCCCAUAACCACUGGUGCUCCCAUUACAUUCAUCACCUAAAAUUAUAAUGAAAAUAAUACCUUAGAUGGAAUGAAACUCAUUACGUCCCUUGUCUGCUAUCCAUUCCAGACUCCCCUCCCCCUUGGCUAGUACUUGGCUGGCCUAGGUGACUUGCCUGAUAGAGUAAACCAGGCCCAUAAGAAAUACGAGCCCCUGGUGAGACUUACGUGCCUCUGGGAUGCUUUACAACUCUCAUCUAAUAUAAUAGAUGCAUAAACUGAGCGACAGAGAGAGCCUUUCAAUUGUCCAACAUCAGAAAGGUGUAGGGCCUAAGAUCUGAAUUCCCUCCCAUUAAAAGGAUUAAUUGAAAGUGUGCUCCUGGGAAAAUAGAGGUGAGGAAAGAAGCAUAUGGAAGGUGAAGAAAGCAGGAUAUGGCAUGGGAGAAAGGCUAAGCGAGCUUGUAGACUUGGCUGGGAAUAAUUUAUACCAUGUCCUAUCCUAUGGGGAGAUUCCGACCAUCAAGUGUACCACACAGUCCCACCCUGCGGCAAGGGGUAUCAACAUUUUCCCCCCUUAUUAGUUAGUUAUUGGUAGCUGACUGAUCGCUGUAAGGAGUAUGAUAUCCUGCAAAAGGAAAGUCCCAUCCCUUGGAGGAAAACUCUCUGGAAUGGGGGGACCUUUUUGACAGCCAUCAUACAGAGCGUUUGGCAGGGGUGAUGGUGGUUGUACUAGCCCAGUGAAAGGUAUCUGGGCAAGGUAUUAAAACCUUUACCACAGUGCCCUCCUUGAUUCAAUCAAAUCUACUUCUCACAUUAAAGUCAAUCCAUCCAUGCCUAGCUUCUUUAAGAGUCUGAUUGGUCACAUUUCUGGGAAACUAGUAAGGGGAAGAUUAUUGAUACACAUGAGAUUCCUCCAGUACCAACUCUAACACAUGGAAUCUGUCAGGUUGUAUGGACCAAGCUUCAGGGCUUUCUCCAUGUAGACUAGUCUAACUGUUAAAUCAAAAUUAACAUCCUUUAAAUCACCCAAUAAACUCAUUAGCAUAGUAUUCCCAGUGUUGUCCUUGUCUCUCAGUGGCAGGUGGUGCCAGAUGCUAUAUUUAGAAGGAUUGUGCUAGCAUGUUCCAGAACUCUGGACUCCUAAGAACUUCACCAAUGUAGUAUGCUCCUAAACCUUUGUAGGUGAUCACAACUUGUAGAGACCAUGUGUUUUUAUCAGGGCAUCCCCUUACUGUUCCCUGGUUGGAGUAAACAUGGUGACACCAAAAUAGUUGUCCAGUGUCCCUAUUCUGUGGAUUGUCUUGAUCAGCAUUGUUCAGUAGAAAUUUAAUGCAAGAUGCACAUAUAGUUUAAAAACACUUAGGUAAUUAUAGAAAUAAAAUAAGUGCAUUUAACUUUAAUAAUAUAUUUUAUUUAACUCAGUUGACCCAAGUAUAAAAUUUUUAACUAUGGUCAAUAGAAAAAGUUAAAAUAGAGAGCAUAAAGGAUGCUUCUUUCUCCCUUGCCUUAGGUCUGAAAAGUGAACUUUGGUUGAGGUUGGACAGCCUGCGUCCAUCAUUUACUCCCGUGUAGAGAAGUCAAAGUAGAAUGUUGAAGAACAUGGCCAGUUAUUCUCUCUCAUGGAGAGAAGCUGAUAAUGGGAUCAGAGAAGACCUAGGACCAUUAAUAUUCUCCAUUAGAAUAACACUGUAUCAAAACCAUAAUAAGUUUCCUCUGCUACAUGUUCAAGGGCUAAAACAUGAAGUAACAUGAACAUCCUGGGUUCUCCAGCAGUACCCCUUGGCUACCUAGGCUACCUAGGUUACUCAUUAGAAUUUUACCAGGUUCUUUUCAUUUUGAGAAAGCACAGCUGAAAGCAGGAGAGCAAGCAUGGCAUCAUUAUCAGGAAUAAUCUAGAACAUAUUUAACUAAUACAGAAGCCAACUGCAGACUUUACUAUCUUAUUGCAGGCCAUGACAUGUUAGUCCCUCCUAAGACCUACAUUUGUGGCCACAUCUUUGACAGUACAGCAGUAAAUGACAUUGGCCAUGAUCAAUUUUGAUAAUCGCACUUUUCUGCUGCCCUCCCAGGUAAGCCUUGCAGAUCUCUGGAUUGGCAGCUCUUUUGAUGUUUUUUGCCUGUGUUUGCUCAGCAUUUAUUUUUAUGUUUAACAAAAGGAAGAGGAUUCUGUAAUGUUAUAAUUGAAAGCCACCAGCAUAGGCAGCUUGAAUCCAAUUCCUCUUCAUUUCAGUCAAAUUUCACAUUUCAUUACAGUAGAAUUAAUUUGAUGGCCAAAUCUGGAAUGUUACUGCUUUCCAGCUAGAUUUGCUUCCAAUUUAACAUCCUAACUAUGCUUGUAAAAUAGACAAUAAAACAAUCUUUUCUGAUUUGGGAAAUACUCUUUCGUCUUCAUUUCUCUGCUCCACUGUAACAUUUUAGCUGAGUUUUAUGGAACAAUCACUUUUCUCAUCUAAUUACUGCAGUUCCCUGGUAGACGGCCUCCCUUGCCCUGCAAGAGCAAAAUUAUCAUAAAUACACAAUUCCUCUGCCAGCAUCUCAUCUUGCACAUGCGUCAGUGAGCAGAGCUGCGCUUUCCCUCUCUAAAUUGUGUUCUCGCUAAAUUGACAAUUUUCAUGUGAACCAAUCAAGUCUUUCUUUGACAUUCCAGCAGAUUUCUGAGGAAGUUAAUCGUGCCUCCUAGGUCCUCUUCAGGUUCAGAUUCCAAAGCCUACACAUGAAUAUGUGAGCAGAUAAAAACUGAGGCUGGCUCCAUUGCACAGCCACGAUUUGGCCUUUCCUUCAAAAUGCUUUUCAACCUGCAGGUGAGGACCCAUUGGCCCUCGCCAGAAAAACGGGCUACUCUUUGGUUUUCACAGCAGCGUAUCUCCAGUUAGGAGUACACACUGGAUCUUCACCUACGUUUCCAGUCUAACUUCCCAUCAUUUCCAAGUAUGAAUAUUGUUGCCAUUAUAUUGAGGUCUUGUUGCCUGAAUGUAUAUGUUUUCAUGAACCUGAGCUGCUGGGACUGUCUUCCCUCUGCUGAAAAACUUUGCCCUUUACUUCUGUUUAAGUUACAUUCACCUUGAAAUCUCAACUCGAUAAACCUGACUUACAAGUCUACCCUGCCUUGGGUGUGCCCGGCGUGGUGCAAUAGAAACGAAUCUGACAAGGAACCAUGAGGUUGCGGGUUUGAUUCCUGGCCUGGCUCAGUGGGCUAAGGAUCUGGUGUUGCCGUGAGCUGUGGUGUAGGUUGCAGAUGCGGCUCAAAUCUGUCUUUGCUGCGGCUUUGGUGUAGGCCAGCAGCUACAGCUCCGAUUGGAACACUAGCCUAGAAACCUCCAUAUGCCUCGGGUGUGGCCUUAAAGAGACAAAAAUAAAGUCUACCCUGCCUUAGCUCCUUAUACAAAGACGACGGCACUUUUCAUGUAGCAUUGUAAUUAUUGCAUUACAUAGCUUACCUUCUCCACUAAAUGGAUCGUUUAGGCUUUGGAGUAAGAAAUUGAGUUUAAACCUCUGCUUUACAUCUUAGUCAUUUUCCACUGCUGAGAAACCCCCUGAACGUAGGGGUGAAGAGCUUGGGAUGUGGCCUCCAACAAAAUUCAGGAUUGACUCUUGGCUACCUUCUUAACAUGGUGUCUGAUUUCUGUCCAGUUGCUUCAAUUCUGUGAUGUUCUAGUUUGCUGCUCAGUAUAGGCAAGGUAAGAAGAGCACUGACCUCAGAAGACUGUUGGGAGGCUUGAAAGAGAUGACAUGAAACUGAGCCACAUCCUGAGUGUAAGGGACGUUAGCUGUGUGAUUAAAAUGCCUAUGUUCCAUCUGUGAAGUGGGGAUAAUGACAGUCUACUCACGAGGUCAUUGUAAGGAAAGAACCAGCUUGCUACGUGUUGCUUAGUAGGCACUCAAUAAGCUUGGUUAAUUAAUAACUUCGUUGAUGGUGUGUUUAGAGGGUCUGCUGGAAUGUGGCCACCAUGCUUUGCUUUGUUCUGACAGAGAUUGCGGGAAAAACUCAAGUUAGGGAUUCUAAUGUUCACAUUCCUUGAACAUGAAGA
rnacentral:lncRNA from 1 species